rnacentral:rRNA from 1 species
UACGUAGGGGGCAAGCGUUGUCCGGAUUUAUUGGGCGUAAAGAGCUUGUAGGCGGUCUGUCGCGUCUGCUGUGAAAAUCCGGGGCUCAACCCCGGACUUGCAGUGGGUACGGGCAGACUAGAGUGUGGUAGGGGAGACUGGAAUUCCUGGUGUAGCGGUGAAAUGCGCAGAUAUCAGGAGGAACACCGAUGGCGAAGGCAGGUCUCUGGGCCACUACUGACGCUCAGGCGCGAAAGCUAGGGGAGCGAACAGG